ACGAAGUCUCAGUGACUUCGUGUUGUGUCUGUCCUUUCGUGUUCCCUAAGUCUCGGGGGUUUUACAUUAUGUAUCAUCAUCACCAGCUCGGUUGCUUCCUAGCCAUUUUUUCAUGGUCAAUUUGUGGUGUCGCUAGAAAAGGUCGCCAGACAUAAAAUUGCUGUGAACGUAUUUUUAACAGCAAGCUUUUCUCUUACAAUCCGUCAACAUCGGUUUCUUGACAUUAUUUUCGAAGUUUCUGCUUGGAAGAAUAGCAUAUACGCAGGCGAGCUGGUGGCAGAUAUUCAUCGUAAGAAAGCUUGAGUAGGAGCGGAAAAAAACGGAACGGAAUUCAAAAUUUGAGUCCUGUGUGUCGUCCCUGUUUCUUCCGCUCAAGCUCAAGCUUUCUUACUACGAUGGAUUUCACUUGGCCUUCGGGAGAGGAAAAUCAGUUGCGCUGCGCAUGCGCCAGCAGUGAUGUCACGUGUCGUUUUUUGAUGCCGCUGCCCGCUGCCUUGCCGUCUGCUCGCUUCGCGUGCGCAUGCGCUAGCAGACAGCGGUUUGCUCGAGGAUGCGUUUUGUGGUGGUGGUGAAGCAAAUUUGCUGAAUAUUCCGUUCAAGUUCCUCCCUAGACGCCCGUCGAUGUUCACCAGGUUUCAGUAACGCCUGCAAGUUGCAUGAUAUGCAACAAGUGCAAGUCAUGUACACAACUUCCGAGUGAAUUAAGAAGCACGAAUGCAAUUCUGAAGCUGAUCUUCAUGCAUGGAGAGAAGAAAUGCAGAAGGCAGCCAAGAGCCAUUUUACAAAAGGCACAGGAGCAAAAAUAUUGAAAGGUGGAUGUUUAAAGCAGAGUUCGAGGUGUUACUGAAACGUUCCCUCACAUGGUGAAGAUCGACGGACGUCCAGCGAGGAGCUUGAACGGAAUAUUCACCAAAGCUGCUUCGCCUGGCUUCUCCACUACCACAAAUCAUGCCACAAAUCCAUUACUCAAGCAAACCCCUGUCUGCUGCGCAUGCGAAGCGAGCAGACGCCAAGGCGGCGGCAAAGAGCGACACGUGGCGUCUCUGCUUUUCCUCUCCCGAAGGCCAAGUAAUUUCCCCAGAUUUCCCUAGACUCCAUCGUUGCGGAGAGCCGCUCGUUCGUCGGCGAUUUUGCCUCGGGCUGUGUCAACAAACACACCACUGACACGUUGUGCUAAAGAAACAAGGGAAAGGGUGCAGGCUAGCUGGUAUAGAUGGUAUGAUCCGUGUCUCUCGGUCUUCUUCAUGGACGUUGUGCUAAUGCAUUCAUAUUUGCACACAUGUAUAUUUUUGAGUUUGUGAUGCAUUUCGCUAUGCCUAUGUUAUGCACCAUUCCGCCCAAUCUGCAUGUCAGGAACAGCCGACUCUCAUUUCUGAUAAAAGGUGCCACAAAACUUAAAUCGAUAUUAAUUUCAGAAAAUGCAGAAGUUACGAUAUACAUUUAAUUCGCACUGAAGAUGACUCGGUGAAAAGGACACAGUUAGUAUAAUCACUGUGGAAAGCGGUGAAUUCAUGCAUGGUAGGCGUACCCUUUUCAGAGAAAAGCACCUACAAAGCCGGUUAUAAAUCAAGGGCAUAUGAGGACGAUGACAUUUUGAUCAAAGCCAAAAGAUCGAGACAAAUCAUAUGUAUGAUG